rnacentral:sRNA from 1 species
UGAUCCAAUUUCGCCGGCGUACGGCCAC